rnacentral:misc_RNA from 1 species
GAUGAAGAACGCAGCGAAAUGCGAUAAGUAAUGUGAAUUGCAGAAUUCAGUGAAUCAUCGAAUCUUUGAACGCACAUUGCGCCCGGCAGUACUCUGCCGGACAUGCCUGUUCGAGCGUCAUUUCAACCCUCAAGCCCUGCUUGGUGUUGGGGUCCCACGGCCGCCGUGGGCCCUGAAAGGAAGUGGCGGGCUCGCUACAACUCCGAGCGUAGUAAUUCAUUAUCUCGCUUAGGGCGUUGGGCGGCGCUCCUGCCGUUAAAGAACCAUCUUUAACUCAAGGUUGACCUCGGAUCAGGUAGGAAUACCCGCUGAACUUAAGCAUAUCAAUAAGCGGAGGA